ACGGGUGAGUAACACGUAGAUAAUCUACCUUCAAGCCCGGGAUAGCCUUCGAAAGGAUGGCUAAUACCGGAUGCAGUUUCAGUACACAAGUGCUGAGAUGAAAGAUUGCCUCUUCUUGAAAGCAAUUGUUUGGAGAUGAGUUUGCGUACCAUUAGCUUGUUGGUGGGGUAAAAGCCUACCAAGGCUGCGAUGGCUAGCUGGUCUGAGAGGAUGAUCAGUCACACUGGAACUGGAACACGGUCCAGACUCCUACGGGAGGCAGCAGUGAGGAAUUUUGCGCAAUGGGGGAAACCCUGACGCAGCAACGCCGCGUGAGUGAAGAAGGCCCUUGGGUCGUAAAGCUCUGUCAACUGGGAAGAAGUUGUUAUUAUUUAAUAAAUGAUAGCAUUGACGGUACCAGUGGAGGAAGCGCCGGCUAACUCCGUGCCAGCAGCCGCGGUAACACGGGGGGCGCAAGCGUUAUUCGGAAUUAUUGGGCGUAAAGGGCGCGUAGGCGGUUCUGUCGGUCAGAUGUGAAAAGCCCGGGGCUCAACCCUGGAAGUGCAUUUGAAACAGCAGAACUUGAGUACGGGAGAGGAAAGCGGAAUUCCUGGUGUAGAGGUGAAAUUCGUAGAUAUCAGGAGGAACACCGAUGGCGAAGGCAGCUUUCUGGACCGAUACUGACGCUGAGGCGCGAAGGCGUGGGUAGCGAACAGGAUUAGAUACCCUGGUAGUCCACGCAGUAAACGAUGUUCACUAGGUGUAGCGGAUAUUAAAAUCUGCUGUGCCGCAGCUAACGCAUUAAGUGAACCGCCUGGGAAGUACGGUCGCAAGACUAAAACUCAAAGGAAUUGACGGGGGCCCGCACAAGCGGUGGAGCAUGUGGUUUAAUUCGACGCAACGCGAAGAACCUUACCUGGGUUUGACAUCCUGUGAAUCUUCAAGAGAUUGAAGAGUGCCUUCGGGAGCACAGAGACAGGUGCUGCAUGGCUGUCAUCAGCUCGUCUCGUGAGAUGUUUGGUUAAGUCCAGCAACGAGCGCAACCCUUAUCGUCAGUUGCCAGCGCGUAAUGGCGGGAACUCUGGCGAGACUGCCCCGGUUAACGGGGAGGAAGGUGGGGAUGACGUCAAGUCCUCAUGGCCCUUAUAUCCAGGGCUACACACGUGCUACAAUGGUGGGUACAAAGGGCAGCGAACCCGCGAGGGUGAGCGAAUCCUCAAAGCCUAUCUCAGUCCGGAUUGGAGUCUGCAACUCGA
rnacentral:rRNA from 1 species